GGCAGACAGGAGGUGACCCCUUCCCGCCAGCCCCCCAUCCUUGGCACCCUGGUCCCCCUCAGGGGGCCACCCCGCGGCACUCACCGCUCUCGCUCUCGGUAACAUCCGGCCGGGCGCCGUCCUUGAGCACAUAGCCUGGACCGUUUCCGUAUAGGAGGACCGUGUAGGCCUUCCUGUCCCGGGCCUUGCCAGGGGCCAGCCCUGCAGAGAGAGGGGUCCCUGUGGUUGAGCUGAACACAGCUGUGGAGUGUCUCCCACGUGCUAGGCACCGCCACGUUUUGCCUGGUCAGGGGCUUAGUCCUCAGGAGACCCUACAGGGCUGGUGCCAGCAUUACUCCCAUUUGACAGAGGAGGAGACUGAGGCUCAGAUUUCACCCACUUAAUUGCUGCAGCAGCACCUGCCACUCUCCCCAGGCCUACCGAAGAUGGAGCUCCCUCGCAGGGGGUAGCCUCCGAAGGAGAAGACGUGGGAGUGGUCGGCAGUGACGAGGCUCAGCGUGUCCUCCUCGCUGGUGAGCUGGCCCGCCCUCUCAAUGGCGUCGUCGAACAUGAUCGUCUCAGUCAGUGCCCGGGUGUCAGAGGUCAGUAUAUGUGACCAACGUCUGUGACCUGGCCGUGACCCAGCAGCGGGCCCCAGCUCACCUGCUUUCUUGGCCCGAUUCAUCACGGAGAUGACCUCGUUGCCGCGUGUCGUGUUGCACUGGUUAAAGCGGGCGGCUGCACUCAAGCCAAUGGUCUGGAAGUUGCCCUUGACCCCGCACAGGAUCCUGGCAGCUGUCACCGUAGACACCCCCAUCCCUGAAGGAACAGAAAUGUGUGAGGCUUGGGCCCCAGGGCUCUCCUGGAACCACUGAGGGUCCGGGCGCCGGGGCUGUGAGGGCUGCAGGGCUGGAAGGCCUGGCUCACUCACCAUCGCCCAGGAAGAUGAUGAGGUUCUUGGCGGCUGUCUGUGCAGGCUGCAGCUUCUUGGCGGCACCCAGGGCCUCGGCUGCCUCGCGGUUCCAGAAGUCCGGGUUCUCCUCCUCAACUGGCCAGGGGGAGAGCAAAAAUCAGGAAACAGAAGGACCAAGACGACCAAUCCUCUGAGAAUACACGCCACAGCCUGGGCCUCCCCUUGCCCCAGGUAACAGCAACCAAGAAUCCCAGGAAUGGAGGCUUUGGCUCUUCCUCCAGCCGGGGAAGACCUGCUGCUUCUGCUUUGAAAUCCCUGGACCUCAGAGGAAGGGCUGUAACCAGACAUUAUGACAGGCGACUCUGGCAUGAAGGACAGAUUGGCUUCGGUGACACAUCCAACAGUGGAUGAGUUGGCGGAUGAAGCAAGAGCUUGUGAAAUACUAAGCAGUGAGCUGUCCUUCCAUCCAGAGGCAAGAAGGCGCUGGAGAACAGUAACAGCCAGAAAAGCGUAUGUUCCCUUUAUGAUUUCUUAGGGUCUUUGGCUGGGCUUUGAACUCUACCAGUUUCCCCUGGAGGAACUCCAGAAACACUGGCUUUAUCUGAGUGUAGUAAAUCCGCAGCACCCACAGAUGAGUGGGUGCUCAGCAGCACCUCAACAGGGCCGACCACGGUGGUUGCACUGAUCUUCAGCCUACUGGAAUUUCCAGGUCUUCAACAGAACUUGGUCCCCUGGUUUCAAAUUUUAAUUUAAUUUUUUUUAAUUUGAGAUAAGCGUCUCGAUCUGUCACCCAGGCUGGAAUCCAGUGGCUCAAUGUUGGCUCACC
rnacentral:lncRNA from 10 species